ACACAGGUAGUCAAGAUGAGAAUUCUAAGGUGAGCGAGCGAACUCUCGUUAAGGAACUCGGCAAAAUGACCCCGUAACUUCGGGAGAAGGGGUGCUCUUUAGGGUUAACGCCCAGAAGAGCCGCAGUGAAUAGGCCCAAGCGACUGUUUAUCAAAAACACAGGUCUCUGCUAAACCGUAAGGUGAUGUAUAGGGGCUGACGCCUGCCCGGUGCUGGAAGGUUAAGAGGAGUGGUUAGCUUCUGCGAAGCUACGAAUCGAAGCCCCAGUAAACGGCGGCCGUAACUAUAACGGUCCUAAGGUAGCGAAAUUCCUUGUCGGGUAAGUUCCGACCCGCACGAAAGGCGUAACGAUUUGGGCACUGUCUCAACGAGAGACUCGGUGAAAUCAUAGU
rnacentral:rRNA from 1 species